rnacentral:rRNA from 1 species
UACGGAGGGGGCUAGCGUUGUUCGGAAUUACUGGGCGUAAAGCGCACGUAGGCGGCUUGGUAAGUUGGAGGUGAAAGCCUGGAGCUCAACUCCAGAAUUGCCUUUAAGACUGCCGAGCUAGCAGGUGAGAGAGGUGAGUGGAAUUCCGAGUGUAGAGGUGAAAUUCGUAGAUAUUCGGAAGAACACCAGUGGCGAAGGCGGCUCACUGGCUCAUACUGGACGCUGAGGUGCGAAAGCGUGGGGAGCAAACAGG